AGAGUUUGAUCAUGGCUCAGGACGAACGCUGGCGGCGCGCCUAACACAUGCAAGUCGAACGAGAGAUGAGGAGCUUGCUCUUCAAAUCGAGUGGCGAACGGGUGAGUAACGCGUGAGGAACCUGCCUCAAAGAGGGGGACAACAGUUGGAAACGACUGCUAAUACCGCAUAAGCCCACGGCUCGGCAUCGAGCAGAGGGAAAAGGAGCAAUCCGCUUUGAGAUGGCCUCGCGUCCGAUUAGCUAGUUGGUGAGGUAAUGGCCCACCAAGGCGACGAUCGGUAGCCGGACUGAGAGGUUGAACGGCCACAUUGGGACUGAGACACGGCCCAGACUCCUACGGGAGGCACA
rnacentral:rRNA from 1 species